ensembl:lncRNA
UUAUUAUUAUUAUUAUUAUUAUUAUUAUUAUUAUUAUUAUUAGAUAUAAGUUAAUGUAAGAACCAGUGUGAUACUGUGAUGUAAGAAAAGCCUUAAGCCCUACACCCUACCCAGUGCACUACAACUUCCGGUUUGGACUCGGACUGACUCCGGAUCAGCAGGUGUCGCUAAUGAGCCGCGAAUGGAAAAACACCAGGAAGUCUCAGACACAGAGAGAUAGGAAGAGAGAGACAGCGAGAGCGAGAGCGAGAGAGAGCUGCAGUUUAUAAACCCAGCGCUCAGCUUCACGUUCGUCCAGGAAACAUUUCUAAACCUCCGAGAAUCCAGUCAGGAAGCGAAUAAAAUGGAGGCGUUCAGUACAGGAAGUGAGAUUAGCAUUAGCUUGUGUCUGAGCAACACAGCAGCCUGGAGCAGAGGCACAGAGAUCCACACUGCAGCUUAACACACUCAUUUAAACUCCUCAUUCAUUCAUUCAUUCAUUCAUUCAUUCAUUCAUUCAUCCAUCCAUCCAUUCAUUCAUCACCCUUCGGUCAACACUUUACACCGCUCCGGAGUCAGGAGGAAACCUGGGGUUUGUUCAGAUUCUGCUCUUCAGUCAUUCACUUCCGGAUUAGCAGAAGAAGUCUUCCCUCGUCUGUCUCUGGUUUAGACGAAACCCCAAACACACAGCUGAUCAUGUGACGGAGAAACCACAGAGCGGGAACUCCCCCGUCCUGGAGAUGUCGGAACGCUUUACCCCCGACCGUCGCAAAGCGCCGACACUGGAGGCUCCUUCUUCCGACAUCUCCUAACAACCGACAUGACCGCGUCACGCACGAUUACACACUUCGUAAUCGCAAGACGACACGUUUUUUUUCAGAACCCGUUUAUCGUCAGUCCCGCGCAAAAAUAGCGCGCACCUUCAGACGUCGGCUAGGACGACGGAGCUACGGCGAGCCUGCUGCAGAACGCGAUCGGUCGUCGCGGUGUAAUACGUUGGGGAUUUAUUUGAAGCGAGACUUUCUUUCAUGUCACUAUUCAGUGAUGUGAAGAACUGGUUGCUUGGAUGAAUGCCUGUAAGGGGUGUGUGUGUGUGUGUGUGUGU